GACGAACGCUGGCGGCGUGCCUAAUACAUGCAAGUAGAACGCUGAAGGAGGAGCUUGCUUCUCUGGAGGAUUUGCGAACGGGUGAGUAACGCGUAGGUAACCUGCCUGUUAGCGGGGGAUAACUAUUGGAAACGCUAGCUAAUACCGCAUAAUAUUUGAUGUUGCAUGACAUUUGCUUAAAAGGUGCAAUUGCAUCACUACCAGUUGGACCUUCGUUGUAUUAGUUAGUUGGUGGGGUAACGGCUCCACAAGGCGACGACACAUAGCCGGCCUGGGAGGGUGAUCGGCCACACUGGGACCGGGGCACGGCCCAGACUCCUACGGGAGGCAGCAGUAGGGAAUCUUCGGCAAUGGACGGAAGUCUGACCGGGCAACGCCGCGUGAGUGAAGGAGGUUUUCGGAUCGUAAAGCUCUGUUGUAAGAGAAGAACGAGUGUGAGAGUGGAAAGUUCACGCUGUGACGGUAUCUUACCAGAAAGGGACGGCUAACUACGUG
rnacentral:rRNA from 1 species